rnacentral:rRNA from 1 species
UCCAGACUCCUACGGGAGGCAGCAGUGAGGAAUAUUGGUCAAUGGGCGAGAGCCUGAACCAGCCAAGUAGCGUGCAGGAUGACGGCCCUAUGGGUUGUAAACUGCUUUUAUAAGGGAAUAAAGUGAGUCUCGUGAGGCUUUUGCAUGUACCUUAUGAAUAAGGACCGGCUAAUUCCGUGC